GUGAUGCCAAGAGAAGAGGUAGGCACCAGAACAGGCUGCUGGACUGGAGACUCCACCACCAGGUGCCGUUGUCAUUCCUGACCUCCCCAGGUUGCGGCGUUGGACGUGCCCUGAUCCUUGGAAAGGGGUAAGAGAGCUGUAUUUCAUUAUCAGAAGGUGAUCUCUACUUACCUUGUCUUGUGUCCAUCAGGAGGCAGUGGAGAGUUGUGACCCUCCCGAGUGCUGCAAAGGCUCUACUGAGGCAUUUGGUGGACACAGCAGGAACCUGCACGCACAGAUGGAUGCCAAGAUCCGCUCCUUCCUCUGUCUGGCAAGCUCUGCUGACCCCUGAGGCUGCCAACUGAUCCCUCUCGUGUCUGCAGUAACCCGAAUGUAGUCUAGUAAGGUUUGCUCAAGUGAGAUGGAAAAUGAAGAGGUAGGCUCCAAAACAGACUUGCGUAUUGGAGACUUACCCACCACAUGGUGAUGCCUUCCCUGACCUCCUUGAUUGCAGUGUGGGGAUGUGCCCUGAUCCUUGGAAAGGGGUGAGUGAUUCCUUCAUCCUUACUAGAAGGUAAUCUCUACUUACCUUUUCUUGUGUCCAGCAGGUGGCACUGGAGAGUUGUGACCCUGCUGAGCAGUGCAAGGACUCUACUGAGGCUCUUGGUGGACACAGCGAGAACCCACACCCAUAGGUGGAUGCCAAUAUCUAUUCCUUCCUGUCUGGCAAGCUCUGUUGUCCCCUGAGGUCGUUCCCAUGCUUGCCGAGGUCCUAUGGGCUUGUUGUUGGUUUACCCUUGUGCUCACUUGGCUUUCCAAGGGUGUUCCUCUUACUUGACAACACCUUUCCCAGUCUCUAUUUCCAAGCAGGAGCUCCCCUUGGCCUCCGUGUCUCGCUCUGGCCAGGCAGAUGUGGUGCGCCAACGGUAUGCAGAGUCCAGACCCUGAGCAGAACAACUGAGGAGAGAGGCUGCCCUGGGUGAGACAGGAGAAGUGCCCCUUGAAGCGGGGGACGCCCCGCUGGCGCUGCCUCUCGCAUCCACCGGCAGCACGUUCCUUCUCU